rnacentral:lncRNA from 1 species
UACGACAGGACUGUGCACCUAACUUGGAUCCAAGGUAAGCGUAUGGUGCGGGAGGUGAACAUUACAUGAAGGACUAUGCCCCUAACCAUGGGCGGGAGCACUAACAUCGAGGUGCAUGUUUAUAAAUUCUUAACACAUCUCGCAUAAUCAUCAAAUCACAUAUAAACGGUCUACAACUUACCUGGUACUCACCUGAGCGUCCACAACGUCAAAUCAUAUUUAUGCAAACUAUAGUAAUUCAUACUCUAAGUAUAAAUCAAUAUGCAUGGCAUUUCAAAACAUAAUCUCAUUUAAACGCAUUUUC